UACGUAGGGCGCAAGCGUUUGUCCGGAAUUAUUGGGCGUAAAGAGCUCGUAGGCGGCUUGUCGCGUCGAAUGUGAAAACUCGGGGCUCAACUCCGAGCUUGCAUUCGAUACGGGCAGGCUAGAGUUCGGUAGGGGAGACUGGAAUUCCUGGUGUAGCGGUGAAGUGCGCAGAUAUCAGGAGGAACACCGAUGGCGAAGGCAGUUCUCUGGGC
rnacentral:rRNA from 1 species